AGUGGGGAAUAUUGCGCAAUGGGCGAAAGCCUGACGCAGCGACGCCGCGUGAGGGACGACGGCCUUCGGGUUGUAAACCUCUUUCAGCAGGGACGAAGCGAAAGUGACGGUACCUGCAGAAGAAGCACCGGCCAACUACGUGCCAGCAGCCGCGGUAAUACGUAGGGUGCAAGCGUUGUCCGGAAUUAUUGGGCGUAAAGAGCUCGUAGGCGGUCUGUCACGUCGGAUGUGAAAACUCGGGGCUCAACCCCGAGCCUGCAUUCGAUACGGGCAGACUUGAGUUCGGCAGGGGAGACUGGAAUUCCUGGUGUAGCGGUGAAAUGCGCAGAUAUCAGGAGGAACACCGGUGGCGAAGGCGGGUCUCUGGGCCGAUACUGACGCUGAGGAGCGAAAGCGUGGGGAGCGAA
rnacentral:rRNA from 1 species